CUCAGUGUGGCACUGUGUCUUCUCAGAAGUACUCUCUUCUGUUUCUCCUGCAGUUCUUACAGCACUUCUUUGGCACUUCUUUUCAGAAGCAGACAGUCUUUUCUCACAGGCUUUCUGUGGAAAGAGAAAUUGUGACAGUCAGGGAAAAGAAACCUGGAAACAGUGUGCUUUAAAAAAAAUAAAUUAAAACAA